AUUGAACGCUGGCGGCAUGCUUUACACAUGCAAGUCGAACGGUAACAGGCCGCAAGGUGCUGACGAGUGGCGAACGGGUGAGUAAUGCAUCGGAACGUGCCCAGUCGUGGGGGAUAACUACUCGAAAGAGUAGCUAAUACCGCAUACGAUCUAUGGAUGAAAGCGGGGGACCGUAAGGCCUCGCGCGAUUGGAGCGGCCGAUGUCAGAUUAGGUAGUUGGUGGGGUAAAGGCUCACCAAGCCAACGAUCUGUAGCUGAUCUGAGAGGACGACCAGCCACACUGGGACUGAGACACGGCCCAGACUCCUACGGGAGGCAGCAGUGGGGAAUUUUGGACAAUGGGCGCAAGCCUGAUCCAGCAAUGCCGCGUGCAGGAAGAAGGCCUUCGGGUUGUAAACUGCUUUUGUACGGAACGAAACGGCUCUGGUUAAUACCCGGGGCUAAUGACGGUACCGUAAGAAUAAGCGCCGGCUAACUACGUG
rnacentral:rRNA from 1 species